GAUGAACGCUGGCGGCGUGCCUAAUACAUGCAAGUCGAGCGAACGGACGAGAAGCUUGCUUCUCUGAUGUUAGCGGCGGACGGGUGAGUAACACGUGGAUAACCUACCUAUAAGACUGGGAUAACUUCGGGAAACCGGAUCUAAUACCGUAUAAUAUUUUGAACCGCAUGGUUCAAAAGUGAAAGACGGUCUUGCUGUCACUUAUAGAUGGAUCCGCGCUGCAUUAGCUAGUUGGUAAGGUACCGGCUUACCAAGGCAACGAUGCAUAGCCGACCUGAGAGGGGGAUAGGCCACACUGGAACGGAGACACGGUCAAGAGGACUAAGGGAGGCAGCAGUAGGGAAUCUUACGCAAUGGGCGAAAGCAUGACGGAGCAACGCCGCGUGAGUGAUGAAGGUCUUCGGAUCGUAAAACUCUGUUAUUAGGGAAGAACAGAUGUGUAAGUAACUGUGCACAGCUUGACGGUACCUAAUCAGAAAGCCACGGCUAACUACGUG
rnacentral:rRNA from 1 species